rnacentral:rRNA from 1 species
UACGAAGGGGGCUAGCGUUGUUCGGAAUUACUGGGCGUAAAGCGCACGUAGGCGGGCUGUUAAGUUAGAGGUGAAAGCCCAGGGCUCAACCCUGGAAUUGCCUUUGAUACUGGCAGUCUUGAGAUCGGUAGAGGUGAGUGGAAUUCCUAGUGUAGAGGUUAAGUUCGUAGAUAUUAGGAAGAACACCCGUGGCGAAGGCGGCUCACUGGACCGAUUCUGACGCUGAGGUGCGAAAGCGUGGGGAGCAAACAGG